rnacentral:rRNA from 1 species
AGUGAACGCUGGCGGUAGGCCUAACACAUGCAAGUCGAACGGCAGCACAGUAAGAGCUUGCUCUUACGGGUGGCGAGUGGCGGACGGGUGAGGAAUACAUCGGAAUCUACUUUUUCGUGGGGAUAACGUAGGGAAACUUACGCUAAUACCGCAUACGACCUACGGGUGAAAGCAGGGGAUCUUCGGACCUUGCGCGAUUGAAUGAGCCGAUGUCGGAUUAGCUAGUUGGCGGGGUAAAGGCCCACCAAGGCGACGAUCCGUAGCUGGUCUGAGAGGAUGAUCAGCCACACUGGAACUGAGACACGGUCCAGACUCCUACGGGAGGCAGCAGUGGGGAAUAUUGGACAAUGGGCGCAAGCCUGAUCCAGCCAUACCGCGUGGGUGAAGAAGGCCUUCGGGUUGCAAAGCCCUUUUGUUGGGAAAGAAAAGCAGCAGGUUAAUACCCCGCUGUUCUGACGGUACCCAAAGAAUAAGCACCGGCUAACUUCGUG